GUGCUCACUUCAGCAGCACAUAUACUAGAAUUGGAAAGAUACAAAAAAUAGAUCCUUGGCCCCUGCAUAAGGAUGACACUCAAAUUCAUGAAUUGUUCCUUAUUUUU
ensembl:snRNA U6 U6 spliceosomal RNA